CUGGUCUGUAUCUAUAAGGUUCACAGCAACGCAGUCACGGCAUUGGCCAUCUUGGAUAAGGUCAUGGUGACAGCCUGCCUGGACAAGCUGGUGCACAUCUCCAAGAGUUCUCAGUUGUCUUGAAAGCACCACAAAUCCAGAGAAUGCCAGACUUUGAUGACAAAAUUUGCCCAUGAAGGACCACCACGCCACCUUCCUGUUCAAGUAAGCGCAGCACAACAAGUUCAGGUAGUCUCUGCCCACCAUUGAGAGCAUCCUGUCGGGCUGUAUCACUGCCUGGUACGGCAACUGCACCGUCUUCAACCGCAGGGCUCUCCAGAGGGUGGUGCGGUCUGCCCAACACAUCACCGGGGGCAUACUGCCUGUCCUCCAGGACAUCUACAGCACGCGAUGUCACAGGAAGGCCUAAAAGAUCAUCAAGGACACCAGCCACCCAAGCUACGGCCUGUUCACCCCGCUAUCAUCCAGAAGGCAAGAGGCCCUGUAACCCCCUGCACUACAGCCUGCAGAGCUUGGACCCAAGGUUCACAGUCCACCUGAAGACACCCUUAUUAGCCACUGACAGCCCACCGUACCAGGCCAGGAAACAGAAAGUGAGUACACCCUCUAUAGGGCAGUUGUGGUAGUUGGAG
ensembl:lncRNA